AUUGAACGCUGGCGGCAGGCUUAACACAUGCAAGUCGAGCGGAGCGAGGGUGCUUGCACCUUAGCUUAGCGGCGGACGGGUGAGUAAUGCUUAGGAAUCUGCCUAUUAGUGGGGGACAACAUUCCGAAAGGAAUGCUAAUACCGCAUACGCCCUACGGGGGAAAGCAGGGGAUCUUCGGACCUUGCGCUAAUAGCUGAGCCUAAGUCGGAUUAGCUAGUUGGUGGGGUAAAGGCCUACCAAGGCGACGAUCUGUAGCGGGUCUGAGAGGAUGAUCCGCCACACUGGGACUGAGACACGGCCCAGACUCCUACGGGAGGCAGCAGUGGGGAAUAUUGGACAAUGGGCGGAAGCCUGAUCCAGCCAUGCCGCGUGUGUGAAGAAGGCCUUUGGUUGUAAAGCACUUUAAGCGAGGAGGAGGCUACUUAGAUUAAUACUCUGGGAUAGUGGACGUUACUCGCAGAAUAAGCACCGGCUAACUCUGUGCCAGCCGCCGCAGUAACAC
rnacentral:rRNA from 1 species